rnacentral:misc_RNA from 1 species
GAAAUGCGAUAAGUAAUGUGAAUUGCAGAAUUCAGUGAAUCAUCGAAUCUUUGUACGCACAUUGCGCCCGCCAGCACUCUGGCGGGCAUGCCUGUUCGAGCGUCAUUUCAACCCUCAGAACCCCUUGCGGGAUCUGGCGUUGGGGAUUGGCAUCCAGCCAGCCCCGAAAUCUAGUGGCGGUCCCUCCGCGACCUCCCCUGUGCAGUAGCGAUACCUCGCAGCGGGACAGCGGUCUGACCACGCCGUAAAACCCCCAACUUCUCAAGGUUGACCUCGAAUCAGGUAGAAAUACCCGCUGAACUUAAGC